AAAACGAGAGAGAAAUGCCCAUCUCCGAACAAAAGGCUUUCCAGAACCUGGAAAUAAACUGGCUACCCCUAUUGGACACUAUAGACUCUGGUAUACUGUGUAACCAAAACACCUCCCUGGCGAAGAUAGAAGCAAGUUCCCUGGAUGAGAGCAAUUUGACAAGAGACACAAAAUGAGCCAUCUUAGAAAAUCUAUCCACUAUCAUCAGGAUGACAGAUUGGACCAAGG